UACGUAGGGCGCAAGCAUUGUCCGGAAUUAUUGGGCGUAAAGAGCUCGUAGGCGGCUUGUCACGUCGGGUGUGAAAGCCCGGGGCUUAACCCCGGGUCUGCAUUCGAUACGGGCAGGCUGGAGUUCGGUAGGGGAGUGUGGAAUUCCUGGUGGAGCGGUGAAAUGCGCAGAUAUCAGGAGGAACACCCGUAGCGAAGGCGGCGCUCUGGGCCGAUACUGACACUGAGGAGCGAAAGCGUGGGGAGCGAACAGG
rnacentral:rRNA from 1 species